rnacentral:rRNA from 1 species
AGUGAACGCUGGCGGCAGGCCUAACACAUGCAAGUCGAGCGGCAGCGGGUUCCCGCGAGGGGAUGCCGGCGAGCGGCGGACGGGUGAGGAACACAUCGGAAUCUGCCUGGUUGUGGGGGAUAACGUAGGGAAACUUACGCUAAUACCGCAUGCGACCCUGAGUCGACGGACUGGGGGUGAAAGUGAGGGACCUUCGGGCCUCACGCGACCAGAUGAGCCGAUGUCGGAUUAGCUAGUUGGCGGGGUAACGCCCGCCAAGGCGACGAUCCGUAGCUGGUCUGAGAGGAUGAUCAGCCACACUGGGACUGAGACACGGCCCAGACUCCUACGGGA